rnacentral:rRNA from 1 species
UACGAAGGGGGCUAGCGUUGCUCGGAAUUACUGGGCGUAAAGCGCACGUAGGCGGCUUCUUAAGUCGGUGGUGAAAUCCUGGAGCUCAACUCCAGAACUGCCUUCGAUACUGGGAGCUCGAAGUCCGGGAGAGGUGAGUGGAACUGCGAGUGUAGAGGUGAAAUUCGUAGAUAUUCGCAAGAACACCAGUGGCGAAGGGCGGCUCACUGGCCCGGUACUGACGCUGAGGUGCGAAAGUGUGGGGAGCAAAGCAGG